rnacentral:rRNA from 1 species
UACGUAGGGUGCGAGCGUUGUCCGGAAUUAUUGGGCGUAAAGAGCUCGUAGGCGGUCUGUCGCGUCUGCUGUGAAAACUCGGGGCUUAACCCCGGGCCUGCAGUGGGUACGGGCAGACUAGAGUGCGGUAGGGGAGACUGGAAUUCCUGGUGUAGCGGUGAAAUGCGUAGAUAUCGGGAGGAACAUCAGUGGCGAAGGCGGCUACCUGGCCCAAUACUGACACUCAGGUGCGACAGCGUGGGGAGCAAACAGG